UUUCCCUUUGAUAGGAGAGCACGUGCGGCCUCUCGUGCGCUGAACCGACGGGACGCCAUUUUGAAAAACAUGCAUGAAAAUGGCUGCCGACUGUUUGUGCUUGAAGACAUUUGCAAGACUCUUUCAGCUUCUUCGAGUUUUCAAGAAGAACAAUAACUGGAUCAAGGCGGGAGUCCGAGAAAUGACAGUUUUCACCAUCAUUUUCUUGACUUUGUACACAACCGUGUAACCGUGCAUCAGGUUGCAGCUCAGGAUGCCUGUGAGGGCCAGGGAUGAGGCACCAUCCUGAGGUCAUAAUUACAUCUUUUCUGGCUUUCAGGAUGACUAAAAGCUCCAAAUUGCUGUCUGCAUUUUGCCUAUACUGAUAGCUCACCCAACGUUCCAUGGUUUUGGACCUCCAACUACAGAAAGCAACACUGUAGCAGGUGAGUUUGUAAUGCUUUGGUCAGUGUUAUACCUAUCCACAUUCCAUCAAAGCUAGACUUGGUCCCA